rnacentral:rRNA from 1 species
UGGGGAAUUUUGGACAAUGGGGGCAACCCUGAUCCAGCCAUCCCGCGUGUGCGAUGAAGGCCUUCGGGUUGUAAAGCACUUUUGGCAGGGAAGAAACAGCCUGGGAUAAUACCCCGGGCGACUGACGGUACCUGCAGAAUAAGCACCGGCUAACUACGUGCCAGCAGCCGCGGUAAUACGUAGGGUGCAAGCGUUAAUCGGAAUUACUGGGCGUAAAGCGUGCGCAGGCGGUUCGGAAAGAAAGGUGUGAAAUCCCAGGGCUUAACCUUGGAACUGCACUUUAACUACCGAGCCAGAGUACGUCAGAGGGGGGUAGAAUUCCACGUGUAGCAGUGAAAUGCGUAGAGAUGUGGAGGAAUACCGAUGGCGAAGGCAGCCCCCUGGG